AGCGAACGCUGGCGGCAGGCUUAACACAUGCAAGUCGAGCGGGCGUAGCAAUACGUCAGCGGCAGACGGGUGAGUAACGCGUGGGAACAUACCUUUUGGUUCGGAACAACACAGGGAAACUUGUGCUAAUACCGGAUAAGCCCUUACGGGGAAAGAUUUAUCGCCGAAAGAUUGGCCCGCGUCUGAUUAGCUAGUUGGUGAGGUAACGGCUCACCAAGGCGACGAUCAGUAGCUGGUCUGAGAGGAUGAUCAGCCACAUUGGGACUGAGACACGGCCCAAACUCCUACGGGAGGCAGCAGUGGGGAAUAUUGGACAAUGGGCGCAAGCCUGAUCCAGCCAUGCCGCGUGAGUGAUGAAGGGCCUAGGGUUGUAAAGCUCUUUUGUGCGGGAAGAUAAUGACGGUACCGCAAGAAUAAGCCCCGGCUAACUUCGUGC
rnacentral:rRNA from 1 species